GCUAGAAUGACCCUCGGUGGUCCCAGGUGCAGGCCUCAAACCUGUAGCCGAUUGGCGGAGUGGUUCGAUUCCGUCUUCCUGGC
rfam:Trichobilharzia regenti genome assembly, scaffold: TRE_contig0017584